GUUUGGCAACCUUGAACCCCAUAGAUCUCUCUCUUCCUUAUCGUUCUUUCUUUCGCGUAGACCUGCAUCUCCUCUUUCUUUCCCGUAGACCUCUCUUUUCCCAUAGUCCUGCAUCUCCUCUUUCUUUCUUGUAGACCUCUCUCUUCCCUCUCGCUCAUCUCUCCCUCUCUCUUUCCCGUAGACCUCUCUCUCCUCUUAACAACCUUGAACCCCAAAUCUUGAACCCAUACUUGUCUUUCCUCUUCACAAUCUCAAAUCCAACCACCACCACUACUCUGUCGGUUGUCUCUCUCUCUCAUUCUAAACGAUGGGCAGCCACGCGAAUCUCAAAGCUGACGCGAAUCAAGUCCCAAAAUCAAGGUAAAAUUCGUCUCCAGGUUUGAUCCUCCACUUCCAACCAUUGGCGGAAGACUAUUUGUUUCUUUUUCCGUCUGCCAUACCGGAUUGUUGCCGGAUUUCCCACGAAUUUUCAGGCCACUUUGGGCACGGCCUCUCUGCAAAUCUAAACUGAGUGUAUAGAUAUCGCAGUUUUUCUUCCAGAUCGACAACAGGAAAGGUCAACGCCCUGAGGGAGGAAGUGACAACCCUAAAAGGUCAGCUUGCAACCCAGGACGAGCAGAUAAAGGCCCAGAGCGAACAGAUGAGGGCCCAAAACGAGCAGAUGAGGGCCCAGUACGAGCAAAUGAGAGCCCAGGGUGACCAGAUGAGUAUAAUUGUACGGACCUUAGUGAUCUCCAGUCUCCAAAUCCCCAUGGCAGCACCUGAUCUUGCUCCACAUUCGACCUUCCAGCCACUUCGCCCAGCCGAUAUGCAAUAGUCUGAUGUAUCAAACCUAGAAGACUACUUAUUGUAGUUUUUUCUUUUUUUGUUCGGACAUCUUGUAUGUACAUUUUCAUAUAGUUUAUAAUUAAAUACUUUUUCUUGGUUUA